AUGGUAAUUGAUUUCCGCAAAUUAAAUAAAGCUACUAAAAAGGAUCAUUACCCUUUACCCUUUAUUGAUCAAAUGCUAGAAAGACUAUCCAAACAUACGCAUUUUUGCUUUCUAGAUGGUUAUUCUGGUUUCUCUCAAAUACCUGUGUCGAAAGAGGAUCAAGAAAAGACCACUUUUACUUGCCCUUUCGGUAACUUUGCUUAUAGACGUAUGCCAUUUGGUUUAUGUAACGCACCUGCUACCUUUCAAAGAUGCAUGAUGGCUAUAUUCUAUGAUUUUUGCGAAAAGAUUGUUGAGGUUUUCAUGGAUGAUUUCUCCAUAUAUGGAACUUCUUUUGAUGAUUGCUUGAGCAACCUUGAUCAAGUCUUGCAGAGAUGUGAAGACACUAACCUGGUCUUGAAUUGGGAGAAGUGCCACUUUAUGGUUAAUGAAGGUAUUGUCUUGGGGCAUAAAAUUCUGAAAGAGGUAUUGAAGUUGACAAAGCUAAAGUUGAUGCUAUUGAAAAGAUGCAGUGUCCCAAGGACAUUAAAGGUAUAA
rnacentral:rRNA from 1 species